CCUCGUCAAAUCGAAUCUUUGAUCGCAUGCAUGAAGUAUUAAAUAUAGACAAAAAUAAAAACUAACUGCAUAGUUUAUCUGUAAUUUGUGAGAUGAAUCUUUUGAGCCUAGUUACUCCGUGAUUGGACAAUGUUUGUCAAAUAAAAACGAAAUGCUACAGUAUCCAAAAACAAAAAAUUUUGCGAACUAAACAAGGCCUAAUUGUCUACACUGUGUCGCUAAGGAUGAACUAAACGCACGGCUGCAGGUACAUGAUCGUACAAGAGACAGAGGCAUGCACAUGCCACUGCGCCACACGCCGAUAUAAAACCUUGCUCGUCGACUGGAGGUAGUCGCUCUAUCUUGGAUUCGCUUGGUUGGCUUGGUAAGAUUUAAUCUUUUUUGCUCGGUCUCUUUCGCUCUUAGUCAUCUUAUAGAAAUUUUUUUUAUCUACUUUUUAAUUUCAUUUCUAUUUGCUAAUAUCAUCAAAUCAUCCAUUGUGCAAGUGCGCCGAGAUUGGAGAUUUGCCCCAACAUCAGAGAUAAUCCAGAUCGAUAUGAUGUUUGUUUUUGUGUGUCUAGUCGCAUGUGAAAGUUCAAUCUCUAAGCGAACAACCUAAUAUUGCAUCUUUUCUCGAAGCAUGCAUAAAGAAGGUGUUGGCUAGUGCUGGUUUAAAUCCUUCUCCUAAUAUUUGCAAGUCUCUUACUCUCUUUUAUGUCUAUAUUUUAAACUACUAGUAUGGCAUUUUAAUUAUUUAUAUUAUAUAUAAUUUGUGGAAUUUUUUAACUUAAUCAUCAAAUUUAACAUUUGUCUUCUUAAUAAGUGCAGAUAUAUUGAAAUAUAUUAAAAAAUCUAAUUGUUACCGAAUUGCUAAAUGAUUUACCAAAUUCAAAUAUGAAAUUACAUAACAUGAACUAAAAUGCUAGAUCUGCCUAAGGUGGGGCUUGCCCCAUGCGACCCCCGGCGUGUAGCGUGUGGGAUCCCCAAAUGUAACACCCAAAAUUUAAUUUUCAAUUAAUAGGGUUUAAUGAGAAUUAUUUAAGCAAUUUUUGUGGGCAUUUAAUCUAGUAAAUACAAUUAUUUUUGUUGAAAUUAAAAUUUAUCAUAAGAUUAGAAACUUGUCUGUGCAUUCAUGCCGGAGAAUAUUUUAUUUUGUGCUGUUUACUUGGGCUAGAAUUUAAUUGCAUUCAAAAUUUUAUUUAGAAAAGGUUUUUGGAAAAGAAACCAGAAAAGAAAAAAAAAAGAAAAGACCCCAACCCUUGGAAACCAGCCCAGCGCGCGCCCUCCUCCCCUUUCGCUCUUCCCUCGCUGACGAGCCGGCCCCGCAGCGCAGCGCCUCCCUCCUCUUCUUCACGUAAUCGAGACGGACUCGCCCUCCCCGAUCGCGAACCAAUCCCAGGAAAGCCGUGAUCUCUUGCCAUUUUCGCGAACUGUGACCAUAUAAAGCCUAUUCCCCAAAGCCGCAGCCUUCCUUUGCAUCUAAAUCGCGAGUCGAAGCCGUAGAAGACGUCGUCUACGCGGUUCGGGAUCUCGUCGAAAACUCAGGGGCUUGCCAACCGUCCCUGUGCCUUCUCAGCUCGAGCAAACCAUCCUAGCGAGUUCGGGGUAAGCUCCUCUGCGCGUUGGUAUUUUUAUUUCGGAGUUUGGUGCUUAGAAACGAGAAACCCGCGAACGCCGUCGAGCUUCCGGAUGGCGGCCAUGGCGCCACCGAGCCGGUGCUGACCUCCGGCCGGACGACUGCCCUGCGUUCCGAGAAAGCCUGCUAGCCAUCCAACCGAAGGCCUGCUAGCCAUCCAACCGAAGAUCAACGGCCAGGAUUAAAACAUACCCUUUCGCCCGGCUGUUUUGCUAAAGAGUCCCUGGACUUUUCCAGGUAUCAACCCGCGGUCUAUGGCGUCAUUUCAGCUUUACGCUUUUCAGUUUGGAAAACGUAUUUUCGUCGGUUUGAAUCAAAUUACGCUUUCCUAUAAUUACAGAAUUGCCACUGAACUUAGAUUGCUUAUAAAAUAUUCAUUAUAACUCCGUUUUUGUCCAUUCAAAUUUCGUUAGAUUCGUAUUUACGAGCUCUCCAUGUUAGAAUUAUUAGUUUUCUGUUUUGAAACUUUUUAAUUUCCUGGUACUAUUUAAUUAAUUAUUUCUCUAUAGGAAAUCUUAGAAAAUGCAUAACUUCUCCGUUUUAAUUCCGAUUUUCGUGAACUUUACGUUUAUAUGAUCGUAGCGCUGCGCAGAAUAUUUUGAUAAACUUUUAUCUUUGUUUUACCACUAUUUGGUGUAAUGUUCUAAUUAUAGCUUGUUUGCUUCGUGUAUGAUUGUCUACAUUGGAUUGCGUGUUGUUGAUUGAUGAUUGGGAAUAGACGGUGAGUCGUACGUUGGUGAUCAAGACCAAGUUUUUGAAGACCAGCAAGCUCAGGAGAGCUUUGAGCAAG
rnacentral:lncRNA from 1 species